UAUACAUAUAUAUGUAUAUAUUUUCACUUUAUAAAUAUCAUAAAUAAUGAGAACUAAUGGUCGACACACAAACAAAAAAAUAAGUAAAAUAAACACAAACACAAGCACACAAACCGUAUGGACAUUUUAUUUUGUUAAAAUUCCAUACAUUUAUGCUUGUACCUGCUAUGCUAUAUGUAAAUCAUAUUUUCUGCAAAAAAAAUGAAAUUAUCCCAUAAAAAGGUCACAGCAAUAACACACCGAUUGUAAAAAAAAAAAAAAAAAAAAAAAAAAGCCACUGGAGUUACCCAAACUGUUGCGAUAGUUGAAAUAAUUGUAACCUUGUAAAAAUAAAAACGUGUACUCAAAAUAGGAAACGUAAACGUACCCAUGAAUCACAUCCCUCCUCUCCAAAAAAAUGUGUAAUAUAAAAAAAAAAUGCUUGCGAUUUAUAAUUUUUAUAUUUUGUUUAAUGUCGCAAUUAAAAAAAGCUGUUUGUACAAAUUACCAACACGAUUACAUUUCGGAUUUGUUACAACUAGGUAUUUUUGAUAAUAAUUUAAAAACAAUAAAGAAAGAUAUACUGAACGAAAUUAGUGACACGCAUCAUAUAUUUUCUUCUUGUAGAACUUGUAUAAAGCUUAUACAACUAAUAAACAAAAUAAUAAAAAAAAAAAAAGAAACUUAUAUAGAUAUAGCCAUAGAAGAUACACUAGAACUAAAUUUGUGUGAUGUAGAUUUAUGGAAAAAAUAUUUUAAUCAUAAUGAUUUAAUGUAUUAUGAGUUUGUAUUAAAAUAUUGUACUCAUACUUAUAAAUUAAUUCAACAUGACAUAGAAAAAUUUAUUUACCAAUUAUAUAAUAAUGAAGAAAAAUUUUAUGAAAGAGUAUGUGGAAAAAUUAACUAUGUAUGUCAAACAGCUAUAAACGAUGAAAAAAAAAAUAGUUCUUUUAAUAAUGGCACAAAAGCUAAAUUAAUGUAUGAAUUGUAUUCUACACAUUUAAUUGACCAGGAAGGUUUUACCUUAACAAGUAAAAAAUUACCAUAUAAAAAAAUUAGUUCUGGUAACAAUAAUAACUACAAGUUCAUAAAUACAAAAUACGUCGUAAUACAAUCCAAAAUAAAAACAAUGCAUCAAAAUACACUACAUGAUGAUUUUGAAAAUAAUGAUUAUAGAUUAAUUAAGAUUGAUAAGUUAGAAGAUAAAACUCGAGAGCUAUUUUCAAAAGUGAUAGUACAAGACACGUUUAUAUUCUUUUUAUACAACGACUUUUAUAACCAUGGUAAGAGUUUGUUUUAAAAGAGUGCACAUAUAUUUAUAUAUGUAUGUGUAUGCACUAUUUAAAAAUGUAUAUUCAUAUUUAAGUGCAUAUACGUUAUUACAUAUAUUGACACGUUUUACAAAAAAAAAAAAAAAAAAAAAAAAAAAAAAAAAAAAAAGAAUAACACGAACAAAAUAGGUAAUAUCAUUAUAAAUAUGGUAAUUAUUUGUAAUAUAGCCUAAAAUAGUGUAUCUACAAAUAGUGCCAUUUAAUAUUUUUAUUUUUUUUUUUUUUUCAUAGAAACAGUGCCUAUAGAUUCUAUUUUGGAAAUAAAAAUAAAAAUAUGUCAAGCA
ensembl:lncRNA